rnacentral:tmRNA from 2 species
GACCGUGGAUCGGAUCCUGUCCGUUGGAGCUGGCCUCGGUUUUAAAUAACGGACUAUGCCUGUAGAAGCUCGGCGGGAAACGUUUCGGGACCCGGGUUCGACUCCCGGCGCCUCCACCA